AGCACUUGUACAUGUUUUUGUUUAACUUGUGGACAAGAACUUAUAGACAAAUGCAAAAAUGAAACUUCUUUUGUAACCGAGACACAUUGUUCAAUGUGAGUUUUGGUACAAAGAAGCAGAAAUACU
ensembl:snoRNA